AAAGAUUAAGCCAUGCAAGUCUAAGUACGAGCCUCGAUACACGGUGAAACUGCGAAUGGCUCAUUAAAUCAGUUAUGGUUCCUUUGAUCGUUACCCCUUACUUGGAUAACUGUGGCAAUUCUAGAGCUAAUACAUGCCUACCUCGGCGCUGACCUCGCGGGAUGCGUGCUUUUAUUAGGACCAAGACCUUCCCGGUGUCCCGUCGCCUUCGCGGGUUGGCGGGCCCGGUCCUCCUGGUGAACUCUGGAUAACUUGGCGGAUCGCACGGCCUCGGCGCCGGCGACGAAUCUUUCGAGUGUCUGCCCUAUCAACUUUCGACGGUACGUUAUGCGCCUACCGUGGUGGCAACGGGUAACGGGGAAUCAGGGUUCGAUUCCGGAGAGGGAGCCUGAGAAACGGCUACCACAUCCAAGGAAGGCAGCAGGCGCGCAAAUUACCCAUUCCCGACACGGGGAGGUAGUGACGAAAAAUAACGAUACGGGACUCUUUGGAGGCCCCGUAAUCGGAAUGAGCACAGUCCAAAUCCUUUAGCGA
rnacentral:rRNA from 1 species